GGGGCUGAUUCUGGAUUCGACGGGAUUUGCGAAACCCAAGGUGCAUGCCGAGGGGCGGUUGGCCUCGUAAAAAGCCGCAAAAAAAUAGUCGCAAACGACGAAAACUACGCUUUAGCAGCUUAAUAACCUGCUUAGAGCCCUCUCUCCCUAGCCUCCGCUCUUAGGACGGGGAUCAAGAGAGGUCAAACUCAAAAGAGAUCGCGCGGAUGCCCUGCCUGGGGUUGAAGCGUUAAAACGAAUCAGGCUAGUCUGGUAGUGGCGUGUCCGUCCGCAGGUGCCAGGCGAAUGUAAAGACAGACUAAGCAUGUAGUACCGAGGAUGUAGGAAUUUCGGACGCGGGUUCAACUCCCGCCAGCUCCACCA
rnacentral:tmRNA from 1 species